rnacentral:rRNA from 1 species
GGAAUUUUGCGCAAUGGGGGAAACCCUGACGCAGCAACGCCGCGUGAAUGAAGAAGCCCUUCGGGGUGUAAAGUUCUGUCAGUGGGGACGAAACUUGACGGUACCCACAGAGGAAGCAUCGGCUAACUCCGUGCCAGCAGCCGCGGUAAUACGGGGGAUGCAAGCGUUGUCCGGAAUCAUUGGGCGUAAAGAGUUCGUAGGUGGUUUGUUAAGUUAGGUGUUAAAUCCCGAGGCUCAACUUCGGCAUGGCACUUGAUACUGGCAGACUUGAAUGCGGUAGAGGUAAAGGGAAUUCCUGGUGUAGCGGUGAAAUGCGUAGAUAUCAGGAGGAACAUCGGUGGCGUAAGCGCUUUACUGGGCCGUAAUUGACACUGAGGAACGAAAGCCAGGGUAGCAAAUG